ensembl:snRNA U6 U6 spliceosomal RNA
GUGCUUGCUUCAGCAGCAUGUAUACUAAAAUUGGAACGAUACAGAGACGGUUAACUUGGCCCCUGUGCAAGGAUGACACGCAGAUUUGUGAAGCCUUAAAAAAAAAA